UACAGAGGGUGCGAGUGUUGUUCGGAAUUAUUGGGCGUAAAGGGUGCGUAGGUGGUUUGGUAAGUCAGUUGUGAAAUCCCUGGGCUUAACCCAGGAACUGCAAUUGAUACUGUCAAGCUAGAGUGCGAAAGAGGAGAGCGGAAUUCCCGGUGUAGAGGUGAAAUUCGUAGAUAUCGGGAGGAACACCAGUGGCGAAAGCGGCUCUCUGGGUCGACACUGACACUCAGUGCACGAGAGCGUGGGGAGCAAACAGGAUUAGAUACCCUGGUAGUCCACGCUGUAAACGAUGAAUACUAGAUGUCGGAGGUUUUGACCCCUUCGGUAUCGCAGCUAACGCAAUAAGUAUUCCGCCUGGGAAGUACGGCCGCAAGGUUAAA
rnacentral:rRNA from 1 species